UGCCGCGUAGAAGUCGUCGGGAUC
rnacentral:siRNA from 1 species